rnacentral:rRNA from 1 species
UACGGAAGGUGCAAGCGUUGCUCGGAAUCACUGGGCGUAAAGGGUGCGUAGGCGGCUUGGUAAGUUGGGUGUGAAAGCCCCGGGCUCAGCCCGGGAAGGGCACUCGAAACUGCCGAGCUGGAGUGCCGGAGGGGAGAGUGGAAUUCCUGGUGUAGCGGUGAAAUGCGUAGAUAUCAGGAGGAAUACCGGUGGCGAAAGCGACUCUCUGGACCAGCACUGACACUGAGGCACGAAAGCGUGGGGAGCAAACAGG